rnacentral:rRNA from 1 species
GUGGGGAAUAUUGGACAAUGGGCGAAAGCCUGAUCCAGCCAUGCCGCGUGUGUGAAGAAGGUCUUCGGAUUGUAAAGCACUUUAAGUUGGGAGGAAGGGUAGUAACCUAAUACGUUGCUACUUUGACGUUACCGACAGAAUAAGCACCGGCUAACUUCGUGCCAGCAGCCGCGGUAAUACGAAGGGUGCAAGCGUUAAUCGGAAUUACUGGGCGUAAAGCACGCGUAGGUGGUUUUGUAAGUUGGAGGUGAAAUCCCCGGGCUCAACCUGGGAACUGCCUCCAAAACUGCAUGACUAGAGUACGGUAGAGGGUAGUGGAAUUUCCUGUGUAGCGGUGAAAUGCGUAGAUAUAGGAAGGAACACCAGUGGCGAAGGCGACUACCUGGACUGAUACUGACACUGAGGUGCGAAAGCGUGGGGAGCAAACAGGAUUAGAAACCCGAGUAGUCC